rnacentral:rRNA from 1 species
AUGACAGAGAUAGUUGCAAUCUUUAAAGAUCAGCAAAAGGAGGAUCCAUAUAUUUUUUACAAGAUAAAGUAUGAUGAGGGGGACAGGGUUGAAAAUAUAUUCUAGGUCGAUGGUGUGGCAAGGAAGGCUUACGUGGAACGUUAUCACGAUUGCAUCUCCUUUUACACAACAUAUAUGACUAACAUGUACAACAUGCCCUUUGCACCAUUCAUUGGAAUUAGUCGACAUGGGCAGUCAUUCAUGUUGGGUUGUGGUUUUGUUAGGCAAGAGUUGGAAUCAAGCUUUGUUUGGCUAUUCCAUACCUUCCUCAAGGCAAUGCAUAUUCUAGCACCCACCAACAUCAUAACUGUAACACCCACAGUGUCAUGCUACAGUACACUCCCCCUAAUGGUGGCCAUGUCAUCAUGA